rnacentral:rRNA from 2 species
AGAGUUUGAUCAUGGCUCAGAGUGAACGCUGGCGGCAGGCCUAACACAUGCAAGUCGAACGGCAGCACAGAGGAGCUUGCUCCUUGGGUGGCGAGUGGCGGACGGGUGAGGAAUGCGUCGGAAUCUGCCUAUUUGUGGGGGAUAACGUAGGGAAACUUACGCUAAUACCGCAUACGACCUACGGGUGAAAGUGGGGGACCGCAAGGCCUCACGCAGAUAGAUGAGCCGACGCCGGAUUAGCUAGUUGGCGGGGUAAAGGCCCACCAAGGCGACGAUCCGUAGCUGGUCUGAGAGGAUGAUCAGCCACACUGGGACUGAGACACGGCCCAGACUCCUACGGGAGGCAGCAGUGGGGAAUAUUGGACAAUGGGCGCAAGCCUGAUCCAGCCAUGCCGCGUGUGUGAAGAAGGCCUUCGGGUUGUAAAGCACUUUUGUCCGGAAAGAAAUCCUUUCGAUUAAUACUCGGAAGGGAUGACGGUACCGGAAGAAUAAGCACCGGCUAACUUCGUGCCAGCAGCCGCGGUAAUACGAAGGGUGCAAGCGUUACUCGGAAUUACUGGGCGUAAAGCGUGCGUAGGUGGUUUGUUAAGUCUGAUGUGAAAGCCCUGGGCUCAACCUGGGAACUGCAUUGGAUACUGGCUUACUAGAGUGCGGUAGAGGGUAGCGGAAUUCCCGGUGUAGCAGUGAAAUGCGUAGAUAUCGGGAGGAACAUCCGUGGCGAAGGCGGCUACCUGGACCAGCACUG